CUUCCUGCUUGACCUGGCACUGGCUUCCUGGCUCACUCUCACCUGGGCCAGGGAGCUCCCGGAGACCAAGAGCAACCCCAGCAAGAAGGUGUCUGAGAGUCCUGAAGUCUCAGGAGUGUGGCUCCGAAGGCACCCAGAGACCUAACCUCAUCACUCUGCACUUCAGGGGCCUGACAUGCAGCUCUCUGCAGGCACCAAGGGGGUGUUGGCCUUCCUGCAGCCUGCUGGCCACCUGAAGAUUUGCUUCCUGCUCAUCACCCACAUCCUGCAUAGCUGACCUAACCUCAUCACUCUGCACUUCAGGGGCCUGACAUGCAGCUCUCUGCAGGCACCAAGGGGGUGUUGGCCUUCCUGCAGCCUGCUGGCCACCUGAAGAUUUGCUUCCUGCUCAUCACCCACAUCCUGCACAGCUGGCAAAUCUCCUCCACAAUGUUACUCUAACUCCAGAGAUUCCCCAAAGGUUUUGAAUUCUACUAUUAUUAUUGUUGUUGCUGCUGUUGAUGAGAACAUACACUUUUUAGCUU